CAAAUCACGAGGGAACGACGAUUUUACGCGACGUUAGUAAUAACGCGACGUUUAACGUAGUAUCCCACAUACGCACAAGGUCGCAAGGCCUUGAUGUUUACGCUUGUUUGUUUGACAGAGUUAGUUGUGACAUAAAUAAAGA
rnacentral:misc_RNA from 1 species